UGGACGUGCUCUUCAGCAGAGUACCCUCAAGGCAUGGGGAGGAAAAGAAGAGAAUGUUCAGAAAGCACAAGCUGCAUUCCUCACCAGGUGCAAGGCCAACUCCGAGGCUACACUCGGAAAGUACGCCGGAGCUUCUAACUUGAGCGAGGGCGCGUCCGAGAGCCUUCAUGUUAAGGACUACAAGUACUAAGAUCAACAAAGUUUUUAGUUUUAUGUUUUCUCUUUGAUUUCUGAGAAUGUGACGAUAUGGUUUUACAAAAAUGUCUUAUAUGUGGACAUAAUGUGUAAGGCUUCUUUUUUUUUUCUAUAAUUUUUCGUUUAAUAAAAAACUUAUGAGUAAACAAUAUUGGCUUUGUGACAAUCUUCAUGUAACAGUUUUUGGGAUAUGAUUUAUUAAAUGGAAUAUUAUCUUUUG
rnacentral:misc_RNA from 1 species